GUAAAAGAAGAGAUCUGUGGCUUCAAGCAGAGAGGAUGAAAAUGGUAAACUGUGGGAUACAUCUGUGGCAAAUACUUCAUCACAGUAUGUAGGAGAACCUACGAUGGCCACAAAACUCCAAAAACGUGAAAGGCCCCCUCAUGAACUAGUGCUUGGUUUGCCUGUUCUGGGCUACUGUAGAAAGAGCUCAUUUUAAGUACCUCCCACUGAAGAUACAAGGAGAGACGCAAGUAAAACUUGCAAGAAGACAGGAAACAAGGAAAUGUAUUCAGAGAAAUAAGAUGUCCUUUCCUCUGAAGAGUCAUGUGUUGCAGUUUCUGAUGACAGCAGCAGCUGAUCACAGCUGGAUCACAGCUGGAUCAGCUGUGAUCAGCUGGAUCAGCUGUCAGUCGGCUUGAACAGUUGGAGCAACUUCUGGAGUUUGUAUCUGCACAUAUGUUGACUGUGUUGAUAGUUAUCACUGCCAGCAGCUGUUUUCUCUCUGCAGCCUGUAACCUGUUUAACAAACACCUGCACAUGAAUAAA